UCUGAUACGUCCUCUAUCCGAGGACA
rnacentral:piRNA from 2 species